ACACGACUACAUUAGAUACCCCCUGUAGUCCUAGCCGUAAACGAUACUCGCUAGGUGUCGGCCACGGUGCGACCGUUGUCGGUGCCGUAGGGAAGCCGUGAAGCGAGCCACCUGGGAAGUACGGCCGCAAGGCUGAAACUUAAAGGAAUUGGCGGGGGAGCACAACAACGGGUGGAGCUUGCGGUUUAAUUGGAUUCAACGCCGGAAAUCUUACCGGGACCGACAGCAACAUGAAGGCCAAGCUGAAGACUUUGCCGGAUUUAGCUG
rnacentral:rRNA from 1 species